GUGGGGAAUCUUAGACAAUGGGGGCAACCCUGAUCUAGCCAUGCCGCGUGAUCGAUGAAGGCCUUAGGGUUGUAAAGAUCUUUCAGCUGGGAAGAUAAUGACGGUACCAGCAGAAGAAGCCCCGGCUAACUCCGUGCCAGCAGCCGCGGUAAUACGGAGGGGGCUAGCGUUGUUCGGAAUUACUGGGCGUAAAGCGCACGUAGGCGGAUUGGAAAGUUGGGGGUGAAAUCCCGGGGCUCAACCCCGGAACUGCCUUCCAAACUCGCAGUCUUGAGGUCGAGAGAGGUGAGUGGAAUUCCGAGUGUAGAGGUGAAAUUCGUAGAUAUUCGGAGGAACACCAGUGGCGAAGGCGGCUCACUGGCUCGAUACUGACGCUGAGGUGCGAAAGCGUGGGGAGCAAACAGGAUUAGAUACCCUUGUAGUCC
rnacentral:rRNA from 1 species